GCUUACGGUUAAUACCCGUGAGUCUUGACGUUACCUGCAGAAGAAGCACCGGCUAACUCCGUGCCAGCAGCCGCGGUAAUACGGAGGGUGCGAGCGUUAAUCGGAAUUACUGGGCGUAAAGCGCGCGUAGGCCGUUCGGUAAGUCGGGUGUGAAAGCCCCGGGCUCAACCUGGGAAUUGCAUCCGAUACUGUCGGGCUAGAGUCUGGUAGAGGGCAGUGGAAUUCCGGGUGUAGCGGUGAAAUGCGUAGAUAUCCGGAGGAACACCAGUGGCGAAGGCGACUGCCUGGACCAAGACUGACGCUGAGGUGCGAAAGCGUGGGUAGCAAACAGGAUUAGAUACCCUGGUAGUCCACGCCGUAAACGAUGAGAACUAGCCGUUGGGUUCAUUUAUGGACUUAGUGGCGCAGCUAACGCAUUAAGUUCUCCGCCUGGGGAGUACGGCCGCAGGGUUAAAACUCAGAGGAAUUGACGG
rnacentral:rRNA from 1 species